rfam:Medicago truncatula strain A17 chromosome 8, whole genome shotgun sequence.
AACAACUCUAGUUGUCCAGUGUUUGAUUUGUAAAACUGUUUUAGGUACAGGACAAACUGGAGGCAAGAGACAAGACAA